rnacentral:sRNA from 1 species
UGGAGAAGGGAGUCCUGAGCAUGAUAGGCAAGGCUAUGUGCUUUCACACCCCGCCUCUCACUUGCUUGUUCUGUGGUCCAGUCAUGUGCUGGUUGAUAACGUCCCUUCCGAACAGAGAAACUGAGGAGUGAUGGAGGCAGAGGCAGGCCUGGGACUCGAACCUGUUUCUUGUCUCAGACACUCUCCCAGGCGCUGGGAGACAGGCUGUCUAGAGGAGAUGAUAAGACUUACUGCCUAGUGUGGCAGGCAGCAGGAAAGGGAAGAAGACCGCUGGCUGAAGACAAGACGGUCACAGUGAAUCAGCCAAGUUUCCCGACACUUAUGGGUGUCAUACUGCUAUGUUUAGGCUACAGAAUCCCGAGGCUUCUGGUAACUGACCACAGAUCUCCCCCUGCACGGUGAGGCCAAGUGCACCGGGGCUUGGAGCGACUCAGUGGCUUCCUGUCAGUACAGUAGAAGGAAGAGCAAGGCUGCCUGCCUCCAGCUGAAGUCACAGCUUUGAGAGAGCUGACUGGAUAGCAUUCAUCCAUGGCCACAUCACACGGAGGGUAACCAAGCCUCAGGGAGUGAAACCACCAGAGGGUGUCCUUUAGAGCUUUUGUCCAAAUGCCUAGAAGAGUUUGGAGCCCGUACUGGACAAAUGCCAGACGUUUGCAGAAUUAAUGAGGUGGCAGAGCAUCCCCUGUCCCUGGCACCAUCCUGGCUUCUGCACUUCAAGUCCCCAGUCCUAAGUGAGCUGUGACAGUUGGUCAUGGUGCCCUUGAGUGACCAUCCUGAGAGACAAGUAUGGAGGUUCCUUCCAAGGAGGGUCAGCUCUUUCUCCGCAUACACCCCAGAGCCUGUGGACCCCAUGACACCAGGGCAGGUGUCUCCAGCCUUCUGCUUGUUUCCUCCUCAGGACACUAAGAAGCACCCACAGCGCACACCACUGACAUGUAAGAGGUUGUAUGUGACAAAACGCCAAGUGGAAAGCCAAAUGUGCCAGGACCCGGCACAUGGCAGCCAUGCUGCAGGGACUGAAGGGCGGGAGGAAGCUGGGGUUUGAGGGACAGUGGGGGACACUUUGUGCCGGCAGGAAGUACUGGCCUUCCAGGCCCACUGGGACUCGGCCUGCUUCCUAGCACUCUGUAUUCAUUGACCUCUGUGCCUGAUCUUAUUUCAUUCAUUAAAUAUUUAUCGGGUCUGGUCCUGGGCUAGGGCACAGCGAGUUCGGUGUGUAUGAAAUGAAGGUCUUUGCUGUCAGGGAGCGUCAGAGAAAGCUUCGAGACUGAAGGCUGAACAGAGCUGUGUAGGAGAGAGGAAGGCUGUGUGGAAAAACACGGUAUCCCUGUUUUCCAGGGCUGUCGCCAGUCCAUCUCCCCAUCUCCCUACCCCCACCCCCAGCCAUGUUCUUUCUGCCCACCUCACAGAGUCUGGGCCUGAAGACGAUUGUAACGGAAGUGUAUCUGACAAUUACAUGCAACAUGUGUAUCUGAGCCUCAGAACUCCUUCCAGCACUCUGCAAUCAAUCGAUUAGCUGAACUGCUGGUCCCUGUCGUUGGCAAUAGCUUAGCUCUUUUCCCUGCCUGUUUGGGUGACUUUGGGCAUGCUCGCUGGAUUGCUCUUUGGGGGGUGCCCUGACCCUGAGCCAUCUGUGCUACCUGCCCCUGCUUCUUCCACCCGAGGACCGGGUUCCUGCCUUCCUGACGAUGCUCUUCAUGUCUCUUGUGCUCCAAGAUGGGGGAAAGCAACAGAAAAGGGGAUAAGGCCUAACUAGGAUGCUGCUCCAGUCUGGGCAACCCUUUCCCGACUGCCCGUCUGCAUGGCUCAGGGCUCACCAGGCUGCAGGGCCAGAUGAACUCCACAGGAGGGAGAAGGAAGGGCAGGACGUCAGAGAAGGAGGCAGCAGUGGCUAACACUGUGGCUGUAGCAGGGCAAACAGUAGGGAGUGGGGGACGGUAGAGCCCAUUAGUCACCCCUCAGGCCUCCCUUGGCACAGAAGCCGGGUCUUAAUGCAUUUCUAAUGGGCUUCCGGAGCUCCGUGUUGAGGCUACAGAUGGGGGCUCCUCGCGAGACCUGCAGGGGCUGGCUGAGUGGGAGGCGGCCAUGCUGAGCCAGGCUCAGUUUGCAGCAUCUACUUCCUUCCCUUGGCUUCUUCUUUCCACGGGGCUUCCCACGAUCCUGAUGUCGGGACAGAAGCCUAAAGAAACUCAGGUUUAGCCAGAUUGGGUGGUGGUUACUUAUAAUCUCAGCAUUUGGAAGG